rnacentral:lncRNA from 1 species
UCUGAGAUAAAAAAUUUGUAGACCUUUCAUUUUCUUUGUAGCUCGAAAAUACUCGUUAUUUCUGAGAUAAAUUUUUUGCAUACCUUUCAUUUUCUUUGUAGCUCGAAAAUACCUCUGUUGUAAUGAAAGAGGCUGAGCAAAUGGUGAUGCAAAGUAUUUUGAAUUCAUCAUUUUCCUCGAAGCCCUUGGAUGACAGUGACACUCAAAGGUCUUGCUUACCCUUGUUCAGAAGCUUGAUGACUGUGUGGCAUAUAUACUAAUCAUUUGCUUGCUCUGUUGUACAGUAAGAUGAAAUUUUCUUUUAAACUCAAGGACCAUAAAGGAUGUGUGCACAAAUUUAA